CCUACGGGAGGCAGCAGUGGGGAAUUUUGGACAAUGGGCGCAAGCCUGAUCCAGCCAUGCCGCGUGCGGGAAGAAGGCCUUCGGGUUGUAAACCGCUUUUGUCAGGGAAGAAAAGGUUCUGGUUAAUACCUGGGACUCAUGACGGUACCUGAAGAAUAAGCACCGGCUAACUACGUGCCAGCAGCCGCGGUAAUACGUAGGGUGCAAGCGUUAAUCGGAAUUACUGGGCGUAAAGCGUGCGCAGGCGGUUAUGCAAGACAGAGGUGAAAUCCCCGGGCUCAACCUGGGAACUGCCUUUGUGACUGCAUAGCUAGAGUGCGGCAGAGGGGGAUGGAAUUCCGCGUGUAGCAGUGAAAUGCGUAGAUAUGCGGAGGAACACCGAUGGCGAAGGCAAUCCCCUGGGCCUGCACUGACGCUCAUGCACGAAAGCGUGGGGAGCAAACAGGAUUAGAUACCCUGGUAGUCCACGCCCUAAACGAUGUCAACUGGUUGUUGGGAGGGUUUCUUCUCAGUAACGUAGCUAACGCGUGAAGUUGACCGCCUGGGGAGUCGGCCGCAAGGUUGAAACUCGAAAGAGAGUAGACGCGUGAGACGUAGACGACGGACGACGACGAGGGGAGGAGG
rnacentral:rRNA from 1 species